UACGGAGGGUCCAAGCGUUAUCCGGAAUCAUUGGGUUUAAAGGGUCCGUAGGCGGUUUUGUAAGUCAGUGGUGAAAGCCCAUCGCUCAACGGUGGAACGGCCAUUGAUACUGCAAGACUUGAAUUAUUAGGAAGUAACUAGAAUAUGUAGUGUAGCGGUGAAAUGCUUAGAGAUUACAUGGAAUACCAAGUGCGAAGGCAGGUUACUACUAAUAUAUUGACGCUGAUGGACGAAAGCGUGGGGAGCGAACAGG
rnacentral:rRNA from 1 species